AGGAGUUCAGCUUACAGCACUAGUGUUAAUUUUGUCAGAUGAGACGAGACUAAAUAUGUUCGUCAACAACCUUU